AUAUUUUUUUUCGUAUUGUUUUCUGUUACAUAUUAAAUAAUAUAUAAAACUAAACAUAAGAAACUACCCUAUUGUUGAUUUUGCCUGUUACAUUGAAGUAGAGUGUCAAAAUGCUCUGUAACAGAAAAAUAUAAAUUUUAUUUUACUUACAGUUACCAGAACACGUCUUUUAACAUCUCAUAGAGCAUGCGGUUUAGAUCCUUAGAGACGAGAUUUUUAACAGCGUUCAGUUCCGUAGUUACCUAUUGAAUAAGAUCAAACUGCAUCUGAAAAGCCCAGAGUGCUCAAUAAGGCGAAGCAGUACUUCACAUCGGAGCAACAGCUCCAACUGUAUAAGGGGCAGGUCCGGCCCUAUGUUGAGUACUCCUGUAACCUAAUGGGCGGGACCACCCGCGAAACGAAGCAAAUCUCCUGACAUUUAUCAAUGGGAAAAUCAACUAGAGUUACAAACAAAAAUAAAAGAAGAAAUACAAAAAAGACUUCAAAAGAAAAGCAAAGUGGAAGAUAAAACAGAAAUAGCAACCAAAAUCGAAAAGACAUGUUCAGACUAUGCUACAUUUAAAAACUGUUUUGAAAUUGAUCCGCGAAAUGAGAGACCUUUUCGCGCCUACUACAUGAAGAAUUACAAUAUAUUCAACCAUGCAUGCGGACACGUGUUUAUGCGAUAAUGUUAAAUUUUGUUCACAGCAUCAGAUCAGAUCAUUCUAGUGAAAUAAAUUUUACAGAGUCCGAGACAGAUAAAUAAAUUCACAUCAUGACCGAUUAUAAUGUAAAAUCUAUCUAGGAGGCUCUAUUGAAACAAAUAUUUUGGUUGAUAAAUUGUUUUUUAAUUAUAAUUAAGUCAAUUAUUGUUGUGUUAAGGAUCAUGUUCAUAAUAUAGAUGAUUAACAAAGUAAGUUUUCUUAUGGAAAACCUUUAAUUAAAUUGUAAUUGAAUCUAAGACCUUAAUAAAAUUAUUUGAACAAA